CUGCCAGGAAGAGUGAAGGAGCAACUUUAUUUGAAGCAGAUCACUUGUUUGCUGGACUUGUGGCCAACGUGUGGUACUUGGUACCUACAACGGACACACGGGAGCUGUGCGGUGCGUCGGCUGUGACUGGGACACCAAAAAUGACUUGACAGGAUCAGCCGACAAAAGCUGUUGACUGUGGGACUGCGAGACCGAUGGUGUCUGACGUCAGAACACGUAGGUUUGAUUUCAGCGGCGGCAACAUCAUGUUUUCCACAGACAAGCAGAUGGGCUCUCAGUGUUUCAUGAACUUGUUCAACCUGAGGGAUCCACAGAUUGGUAGGUAAUCGUCACGUGCAACAUAAACAAAUUAAUACCGUAAAAGAAACAAGAUUCCUGAUUACUGCUAAGGAAAUAAUGAAUCGCAGACAGCAUCUUUAAAUGCAGGUUUAUGUCCUAA